AAAUGUUGCAUUUCCCAAGACCACCGUAGCCUGCCAUGCCCCCAUCCUGUACCUAUAAAAACCUCCAAGACCCCAGCAGGCAGACACAGAGGCAGCUGGACUCAAGGGGAGCACAUCAGUAGAAAAACACAUAGGAGGCUGAAGGUUGAGAGGAACACACCAAAAGGCACCAGCACACUGGCAGGCCACCAUCUGGCAGAAGUAGAACGUCGCAGAGUUUGGCUGGGGCAGUUGAGGGGAGCCCAGGCCGCUGAGUGGCCUGAUUCCAGGGGAAAACCUUUCCACUCCAUCCCCUUCUGACUUCCCCUGAGCUACCUCCACUCAAUAUAAAGCUUGCACUCAUUCUCCAAGCCCAGGUGUGAUCCGAUUCUUCCAGUAUACCAAGUCAAGAACCUGGGAUACAGAAAGCCCUCUGUCCUUGAGACAAUGUAGAGGGUCUAACUGAGCUUGUUAACACAAGCCACCUAUAGACAGCAAAACUAAAAGAUCACCCUGUAACACACGCCCACUGAGGCUUCAGAAGCUGUAAACAUCCACCCCUAGACACUGCCGUGGGUCGGAGCCCCACAGCCUGCCCAUCUGCAGGCUCCCCUAGAGGUUUGAGCAGUGGGGCACUGAAGAAGCGAGCCACACCCCCAUACUGCCCAAG
rnacentral:lncRNA from 1 species